AUCCAUUUAUGUGACUGAUUCACUGAAUAGCAUUUAAUGAAUAAACAGCAAAGGACUAUCUAAAUAACAAUUAACAAGUUACUCUGUUUGCUUUUUUGACAAGCCAGAAUGAGACGUUGCCGUAAAUUACUAGAUUGCUAAUCUCAAACAUUUUUGAGAUUCUUAUUCAGAAUCUACAACAAAGUGAUCAACAAUGACAUCAUAAUAAAAAAAAUUGAAAAAUAUAUAUAUCUGCAUAAAAGUAAUACUCCUUACAAAACGAGGCCCCGUGUG
rnacentral:misc_RNA from 1 species